CAGUAAGAUGUGGGCCUGCAUCCACGCUGACAGGAGCCCCUGGGCCACCUCAGGACAUGCGGGGAGGCUUCUGAAAGAUGUGGUGCUGCAACCACUCUGGCAGGAGCUAAUGGGCCCCUCAGGACAUAAGUUGAGUCUUCUGGAAGCUGGGGGCUGCAUCCACAGUGACAGGAGCCCCGGCCACCUCAGAACCUGCGGUGUUACUUGGGGAGGACGUGGGGCCAUGUCCACACAACCGGACGCUGAUGUCUUCAGGAGCCCCAGUGUAGACUUCGGGAAAUCGGAGGAUGCGUCCAUGCGGACAGAAGACCCCAGCCUUAUCAGAACCUGUGGUGAGGCCUAAGAAAAAUGUGGAUGCCGAAUCAACACUGACAGGAGUCUCCGGCCUCCACAGGACACACUGUGAAUGAUUGGGAUGAUUUGGGGCCACGUCCAUUCUGACAGGAGCCCCCAGCCUCCUCAGGUCUUAUGGUGAGGCUGAGGAAAAUGUGGGGCCACGUCAAGACUGAGAGGACCCCGUCCUCCUCAGGACCUGCACUUUGGCUUCGGGACACAUGGGGCUGCAUCUAGGCUGACAGGAACCUACAGCUUCCUGAGGACCCGCGGUGAGUUUUCAGGGGACGUGGGGCCAUGUCCAGGCUGACAGGUGCCCCCGGCCUCCUGAGAACCUGCUGUGAGGCUUCCAGAGGAUGUGAGGCAUACUCCACGGUGACAGGAGACCUGGCGUACUCAGGACCCGCUGCUUAUGACUCUGGAACACGUGGAGCCACAUCCGCACUCACAGGAGCCCGGCUUCCUCAGGACCCCCUGGAGGACACUGGAGGCGCCAUGUGGGCCACGUCCAUGUCAGAAGGGACUCCUCAAAUUCAUAGGGACCAGCACUUUGGCUUCAGGACAUAUGGGGCUGCGUCUAUGCUGACAGGAGCCCACAGCCUCCUCAGGACCCGCGGUGAGUUUUCUGGGGGACGUGGGGCCAUGUCCAUGCUGACAGGAGCCUCCGGCUUCCUGAGGACCUGCUGUGAGACUUCCAGAGGUUGUGAGACAUAG
rnacentral:lncRNA from 12 species